GUAGUAUUCCCUCCGUCCCAAAAUUCUUGUCUUACAUUUGUUUAGAUAUACAGAUGUAUCUAACACUAAAAUGUAACUAGAUACAUCCGUAUUUAGACAAAUUUAAGACAAGAAUUUUGGGAUGGAGGGAGUACAAA
rfam:Triticum aestivum genome assembly, contig: Triticum_aestivum_CS42_TGACv1_scaffold_030412_1BL